UACGAAGGGGGCUAGCGUUGCUCGGAUUGACUGGGCGUAAAGGGCGCGUAGGCGGUUCGUACAGUCAGACGUGAAAUUCCUGGGCUCAACCUGGGGGCUGCGUUUGAUACGUGCGGACUUGAGUGCGGAAGAGGGUCGUGGAAUUCCCAGUGUAGAGGUGAAAUUCGUAGAUAUUCGCAAGAACACCAGUGGCGAAGGCGGCUCACUGGCCCGAUACUGACGCUGAGGUGCGAAAGCGUGGGGAGCAAACAGG
rnacentral:rRNA from 1 species